GAGUCACAGGACGAAGUGGAUGGAUCAAGGCCUUGCAAGCUCAAAAGGCUUGUGGGCCAGGAUUCAGGAAAGUCCCCGGGCCUUAAUCCGUAGAAAUUACGGGCUCGGAAACGAGUUCUACUUCAAGCGUGGUAAUCAGUUCAUCUCUUUGAGAUGAGGGGCUGAGACGUGUGUGGAGCCUUUGGUGCUGCCUGAAGUAUAUUUGCCGAAAUUCACAGUUAUCCACUUGGUCCUUAAUGGACUAACUGAACGGGGAUUAUGAUCCUGUGACU